rnacentral:misc_RNA from 1 species
CAUCAGCUGGGCGGUCUUGUUUCCAAUGCCGUAAAGGUGCGUGAGUGGUGUUUGGCGUGUUUCGGGCGAUUGGAUGCCUGCUAGUGCAGCAACUUUCGUCGGUACAUGCCUUUUCAGACAAGCGUCAAGGUUUCUUGUGCCUUGAUACGUUGCUUUUGGGAUUCCUGUGUUGACUACCUAUUCGAGGGAACCGGUUUGAAAAAUGAUGUCCCUUUUCGUCGUGCGCUGCUCUCGCGGCGUAAGGCGAACCUUGCAGCGCGCCCUGUGAUCCCUCCCGUUGACAUCGAGUCGUCGGAAGAGGGCUCAUGGAGCGUCGCUUGGUGUCCCGGAUACGGAGCCUUCGAAGGGGAAUGUGGCCUUCGCGGUCUCGUGCACCCUAAUCGAACAGCGUUUGCUUUAAGAAAACGACAGCCGUUCACGCAUGGGCUCUGGCUCGUGCGGAUCGGCUUCGUCGAAAGAGGAAUGC